AGAGUUGGUUAGACAAUCGCUGGUUUAUUGAAGUCCUUAAUUGUUUUUAACAAACAAGUGAGACAAAUAAACGAGAGGAAAGUCCGAGCUACACAGGGCAGAGUGCCAGAUAACGUCUGGGGGGCGUGAGCCCACGACCAGUGCAACAGAGAGCAGACCGCCUUCUUUUGAAGGUAAGGGUGAAAGGGUGCGGUAAGAGCGCACCGUGCCACAGGUAACUGAUGGCAGCAUGGUAAACUCCACUCGUAGCAAGACCAAAUAGGUUCGCAAUUGCUGGCCCGGCAAGCGAACGGGUAGGUUGCUUGAGCGUUAGUGUGAAUUAACGCCUAGAGGAAUGAUUGUCCACGACAGAACUCGGCUUAUCGACCAACUCGCAUU
rnacentral:RNase_P_RNA from 1 species